rnacentral:miRNA from 1 species
AAGUAGUAGUGCCGCAGGUAAAGUGGCUCAAACUUCUUACCUGCACACAACUACUUAC